AGUGAACGCUGGCGGUAGGCCUAACACAUGCAAGUCGAACGGCAGCACAGUAAGAGCUUGCUCUUACGGGUGGCGAGUGGCGGACGGGUGAGGAAUACAUCGGAAUCUACUUUUUCGUGGGGGAUAACGUAGGGAAACUUACGCUAAUACCGCAUACGACCUACGGGUGAAAGCAGGGGAUCUUCGGACCUUGCGCGAUUGAAUGAGCCGAUGUCGGAUUAGCUAGUUGGCGGGGUAAAGGCCCACCAAGGCGACGAUCCGUAGCUGGUCUGAGGGGAUGAUCAGCCACACUGGAACUGGGACACGGUCCAGACUCCUAAGGGAGGCAGCAGUGGGGAAUAUUGGACAAUGGGCGCAAGCCUGAUCCAGCCAUACCGCGUGGGUGAAGAAGGCCUUCGGGUUGUAAAGCCCUUUUGUUGGGAAAGAAAAGCAGCAGGUUAAUACCCCGCUGUUCUGACGGUACCCAAAGAAUAAGCACCGGCUAACUUCGUG
rnacentral:rRNA from 1 species